GUAACAAACCAGGCUCCAUUGGUGUCCAGCACAUAAUGCUAUCAGCCUGAGUGAAAAUCAGGCUGAUUUGUUCUGUCUUUUAUUUUCUCUUCCCAGACUAAUUUAUCUUUCCUUUCCCAGUUCCUCCACUCGUGCUAGUAGAAGAAUCCAAGCAGUGCAAGCACCCUCACCUUGCUGCUGGAAGAGGGGCAGUCACUGGAUGCCUGUGCAUCCUGGCUGCAACAUGGGCUGCUGGGCAUCACAGUGGACUAGCAACAGUGGUCAGCUCAGACACCUCUCUCUUCUCCAGGAGAAACCGACCCAUCAGCCACAUGGCUGACACAGAACUUUCAACUGAUGUGAUGAUGAGGAAAAGCAACUGAUGAUGCAGAUGCCUAUUAGCUGGACAGCAACACCACUUUCUCACGAGAUGAUGCUCAGACAGACCUCAGUGCAUUCUACUCUUGGGAUUCUGGUCCUGCUUGGCUUUUUAAGCUGCCCACCCAGGGGUACUGGAUACCCCCUGCUAUUUGGAAGUGAAUUAAGCCUUCCUGAAAGUGAGUAAGUUUAAUAGAUUGUGAGAUGCCUUUGAAGCUGCCUCAUCCAGAACACCCUGCAUCCCAGGUCCUUUUGCUGUACUUUCACCAACUGAUCAUUUUUGCCAAAGCAUCUCAAGGAUAUGCUAAAUCCUGUUCUGGAAUUGAGCUGUUUCGGGAACCCUCAGCUUGAUGAAUUGCUCAGUAAUGGAAAACUCUUUGAAUAGCAUUGCCUUGAGGAAAAUGACAGAAGUUAAGCCAGCCCAAGGGGAGCAGAUCUGCUUUUUCCAAGAACACAAGGAAGCAAGAUUUUCCUGCAGAAUAGGAAUGAAUGUAUGUUGUGCUGCUCCUGGCUGCAUUGUAUAGUGCCAAUUGCAUUAGUUGGUACUUCUGCCUCACUUGCAUCUCAUCUUUCCAAGAUCCAAUUUAUGGUAGCUGAGAUAAAGUAUCCUUCAGGAUAUUACAUUCAUCCAUUUCAUAAAGCAAGAACCACUUUUUGAUAUAAGAGAUGUGAGUCCAGAAAAAGAGAGGAAACAUAUGGCACUAGGCUUUGUAAAUGGCCAACUGGCAUGUCUAUUAUGGCUGUUUGCAGCUUUUGGCUCCUUUUCAAACCAGAAAGUAACAUUAUAUAUGCUGUGCAUUCUUACAUACCAAUUAAAAAAAACAAACA